rnacentral:rRNA from 1 species
AUUGAACGCUGGCGGCAUGCUUUACACAUGCAAGUCGAACGGCAGCGGGGGCUUCGGCCCGCCGGCGAGUGGCGAACGGGUGAGUAAUGCAUCGGAACGUGCCCAGUCGUGGGGGAUAACACAUCGAAAGAUGUGCUAAUACCGCAUACGUCCUGAGGGAGAAAGCGGGGGAUCUUCGGACCUCGCGCGAUUGGAGCGGCCGAUGUCGGAUUAGCUAGUUGGUGAGGUAAAGGCUCACCAAGGCGACGAUCUGUAGCGGGUCUGAGAGGAUGAUCCGCCACACUGGUACUGAGACACGGACCAGACUCCUACGGGAGGCAGCAGUGAGGAAUAUUGGUCAAUGGGCGAGAGCCUGAACCAGCCAAGUCGCGUGCAGGAAGAAUGUCCUAUGGAUUGUAAACUGCUUUUGCAGGGGAAUAAAGUGAGCCACGUGUGGUUUUUUGUAUGUACUCUGCGAAUAAGGAUCGGCUAACUCCGU